rnacentral:lncRNA from 10 species
AUUGAAGGAGAAGACAGAGAUGAAGGCCCUGGCCUGGUACUCGGUAGGGAACAGGACCCAGUGGAUGUUAGAUGCCUCCUCUGUCUUGCUGAGACUGGGCAUUUCUCUGAGUACAGAGCCUGGGAGACAGGGCAAGUGGGAGAUGGGGUAUGAGAGGCCCUCAGUGGGGAAUACUGGUCAUUUUGGAAACAGGAAUAUUCCAUAGCUGCGUGAAAAUGCAGCUUUUUUUUUGCUUAAUCAUCAGAACCCACAAUCCUAAGUUAAUCCUGCAUUACAGAAUUCUGCCAGACUUCAUAUCCAAAAACCCCUGGUGCUCUAUCUCUUUCUCUUCCCUUCACCCCAUACAAUCCUGCGGGAUCGGGAAAUGCUCAUGUCAUGGGGUAGAGAAACCGGAGGUUUGCCAAGCCCUUGAGGCUCCUAGAUCAACGAUGCCUAAAGUCACUAACUUCCCUGAGGUUGCAGAAUGAAUGUCUUUUUUCUUCCCCACUGGAAAAGCCAUAGACAACCAUUAAAGAAAACUUGAAAAAUACAGGGAAGUUGAUGGAUGUGUGGCCAGUUGGUGCUGUCUGUCUUCUUGGUGACCAGGAGUAAUUUGGACCAUCUGGGAAACCAGACCUCUUUUCACCCAGGCUGUUUCGUGUGCAUCACUUCUGAGGCUGUGUGCUCAGUCAAGACCUUGCCAGAGAGUUGGGGGAUUAGCCUUAGGUCGAGAAUAUUCUGAGCAGUAGUAAGAAAUUUAAAAAUCAUCCAUAAUUUCAUCACUCUUAUUUUAAGAGAUUAGUUUAUUUCCUUCUAAACCUUCCUCUAAGUUAGUGUAUGUGUGUUUAUAGCUGCAUACAAUUUUGUAUGAUGCUUUUUUUCCUAUAAUAUUAUAUCCUAAGGAGCACUUGAAGUCGAAUGACUUUAGUAAAUCAUUGAUGAGAACAUUUUGAGUGUCUUUCCAUUGCACUCCCAACUAGCCUUCUCCACCUCUUCACUUUAAAAGCAACAACUAGUUGAAACGUGACGCUAUCCAAGUCUUUCCGGAGAAAAUAGUUUCUGGAGUGAGAUCAUUGUUGUUUGACAAUUUGGGAAGGACUUAAACUGAGUCCAGCUCCAGGCAGGACUUGAUAACAUGUUCAUGCAGUGGCUUCUUUCACAGCGUUAUAGCACCAGCCCUUCCUUGUCUCUCAAACCUUACAGCUCAGGAGGGGCUGUGAAUGGAUGGGUAAGGAAUUCCAGUCCCUGGGUCCUUGGCACCUGUGGUCAGCAUGGGGCUCCCACUCCAGAAUUGCGUGCGGUGGUUUUGAGCUCUUGGGUCACGGCUACAUCUGGAGUUGUUGUGGCAGAGAAGCCUGGUUCCCAGCCACCACUCUGCUCUUGAAGGUGCUGACUCAGAGACUCCCAAGCAGCUGACUUCAGCAUUCUCUCACAGCUUUACACCCCCUCUUCCCUGCAGCCUGUCUUGGAAGGAAAUCGUGUGGUUGUGGUCUGUCUUCAGAGUGGGGUUGAGGGGUGCACUUGAAGAAGUGGCUGAGGCAGAGCCAGGGCCAGAAUAGGUAGGGUCACCCCAGAGAAACUCCUUCCACUUCACUGGACUCUCUAUCAGUAGGAGGCUUACAGUCCUUGUCCCUGCCAAGACAGGGCUAGGGGCAAAGCGCAAGACAUUACAGGUUUGCAAUAUGUUAUCCAUCAUCAAAAUGAGCAGUGAACAAAUCCGACUAAGGUCUGGAAGCAAUUGAACAACUCUGUUAUUACUUUUGUGACACAUUGUCAUGGGAAUGUGUGUGAGCUUGGGGCUCUUGUGUCUCUCUGCGGUUUCUAGAGGCAGCUUGACUUAGAGAAUGGUUCUGUCCACAGACUGUUUCUGUGUGUGCGAGGGGAGCUUCCUGGGGCCAUCAUGAGGAUUUCUUUUCUUUUGAGUCUUGUAAAGUAUUGACCCAUAGAAUAUGAGAAGCAGGACAUGUUCUGUUCAGUUGUUUUUCAUGUAAUAAAAGAUUCUUGCUC